rnacentral:rRNA from 1 species
AUGGAUUCUCCAGAAAUUCCGCCCUCUGACCGCAGAGAAGAGCGGCCGCCAGCGUCGCUGCCGCUGCCGGCGGCCUUUCUCGAGUUCCUCGGCGAGAAUGGCCUGGACCCCGCGCUCUACUCCAAGGCGGACACCAUCCCGCGCUACAUCAGGUUAAAACCAGGCAUGGAGUCCAGUGUGGUGACAGAGAUCGAAAGCGAGCUCAAGUGUGAUCUCAUGAGGGUGUCGUGGCUGCCGGACUUCUAUGCGAUCCCGCCUGAAAUUCAGAUUGCUGGAUCCAAGGCUUAUCAGCAAGGGAAGAUCUAUGGGAUUGAUGCAGCUUCUGGAGCUGCCAUCUUAGCACUCGAUGUUCAAUCAGGAGACCAUGUUCUUGACCUCUGUGCUGCACCAGGUGCAAAGCUUUGCAUGCUUGCAGAUAUGCUUGGUAGCUCAGGUUCUUUGACUGGUGUUGAUGUUGCAAAGCACCGUCUUGCAGCCUGUCGUACGAUGUUGCAGAAGUAUUCUCUUGGAGAUCGUAGUCGACUCUUUGUUGCUGAUGGGACUUCGUUUUCCAUAUUGCCUGUGAACUCCAAUCUGGGGAGCAUGGAAGCUUUUGUUGGAAUUGAGGAUAAUGGAAGCAUAUUCUCAGAAUGGACUUCAAAGAGAUCAUGGAAAGACAGACAGAAGUCUAAAAAGGCAAAAGCAGCCGGUUCACCUCAUCUACCAUCAACUUCCGAACCUGAACUGAUAUACUAUGGCAAAGAUUCAGGAUUAGUUGGAUUGCAAAAACGUUAUGUUCUUCACCCAUCAACUGAUGCUGCUGCCUGUACAUCUGGGUAUGAUAAGGUCCUAGUGGAUGCAGAAUGUACUCAUGAUGGAUCGAUAAAACACAUUCAGAAGUUUGAGUUCUGGGGAUGGAAAACAUUAGACCGCCGUGUACUCAACGUAGAAAGAACUGGCAACCUACUUCAUCUUCAGUUAGGGCUUCUCACAAAUGGUUUUAAAUUAUUGAAAACAGGCGGAUCACUUGUCUAUAGUACUUGCAGCUUGACUGUUGCACAAAACGAGAAUGUGGUUCAGCAAUUCCUCUCAAAACAUCCUUCAGCAGAGCUGCUAAAGAUCAAUCCAGCCGAUAGCUGGCCCUGCAGAAGCGGCGGCAUCCAGAAAACCUUGCGGACAGGAGCCGUACAUCUGCGGCGGCAGGCGCGGGUGAGCGGCGGCGAUGAGCGGCUUGGCCUUGGGCAUGGUCAUCCCGUAGACCUCGUCGGUGUCGAUGUCCUCGGGGCGGAGGCCGUCGGGCGGGGACCAGUUGAAGCAGUGGAAGAGCCUGGCGAGCGCCAUGAGCACCAGGAUCACGCCCAGGGGCGCCCCUGGGCACUUGCGCUUCCCGGCGCUGAAGGGCAGGAUCUUGAAGUCCGGCAGGUGGCUGAUCUCCACGCGCCCGCCGUCGGCCGGGAGGUGCCUCUCGGGGCGGAACUCGUCGACGUCGUCCCAGAUGCGCGGGUUCCGGCCCAGCGCGUGGGUGUUGAUGAAGAUCCUCGUCUGCGCCGGGAUGUCGUAGCCCAUGAUCGUCGUCGCCUUGAGUGA